UACGUAGGGUGCGAGCGUUAAUCGGAAUUACUGGGCGUAAAGCGUGCGCAGGCGGUUUUGUAAGCCAGAUGUGAAAUCCCCGGGCUUAACCUGGGAAUGGCAUUUGGGACUGCAAGGCUCGAGUGCGGGAGAGGAGACUGGAAUUCCUGGUGUAGCAGUGAAAUGCGUAGAUAUCAUGAGGAACACCGAUGGCGAAGGCAGGUCUCUGGGCUGACACUGACGCUCAUGCACGAAAGCGUGGGGAGCAAACAGG
rnacentral:rRNA from 1 species